rnacentral:rRNA from 1 species
UACGUAGGGUGCGAGCGUUAAUCGGAAUUACUGGGCGUAAAGCGUGCGCAGGCGGUUCGCUAAGACCGAUGUGAAAUCCCCGGGCUUAACCUGGGAACUGCAUUGGUGACUGGCGGGCUAGAGUAUGGCAGAGGGGGGUAGAAUUCCACGUGUAGCAGUGAAAUGCGUAGAGAUGUGGAGGAAUACCGAUGGCGAAGGCAAUCCCCUGGGCCUGCACUGACGCUCAUGCACGAAAGCGUGGGGAGCAAACAGG